CGCGCUCCCGGGCUCAGCCGCCCACCCAACGGGGCCAAGCGCCCCCGCCGCGCCUGCGCACACCCGCAAACUGACGUGCUAGCGCCGGCAGGGCAGGGCCGGUGCGGGCGACGCGCCCAAGGAGGCCGGCGUGGAGCAGCGGGGUAUGGUACUCCGCCUUUGAGCAACCGCCAGGCUCAAACAUGGGAGUUCAAAAUUAAAAUACAACUGGUGUACAAGAAAGUAAACAGGAGUGAAAGAGAAGAAACCAUGAGGGAGUGCUGUAUUUACACUACAUUUUAUAGACAACUAUCCCAUUACAUCCCAGUUUGAGCCCUGGCCCUGAAAGUGAACGGGUGGCAGGUUCACCGGACAGAGAUUUUGUCUAUAGAUCCAGCCUCCCCGACCCAGCUGUAAGGGGUCUAAUUCAAGUCCAUGGAGCAGGAAGGACAGAGUAGAAGACACUCAUUUCCAAACAAGUCUCCCUUGGGAAAUCCGGCCUGGAAGAGGCUGAAGACUCUGAGUCUCAGUUCCCAAGUAACGUCAGAAGUUCCAGCCUCCAAGAGUGACGUCAGGGUUCUCCCGAUUUGGGAAGACCCCCUAACCGCCGGGCCUCUGGCCGAAGUUCCUUGCAUUUCUGGCAAUAAAAGAAGUCAGGAA